CAAAGACUAAAACACCCCUAUAAAAAGCAGGAAAUUACACUCCUAAACUCUGCAUUAACCCAUUUCAAAUUUUCAAUUCGAUUCUCUUCGCUGCUGCUCACGGUGGUCCAACCGUUUUCUCCGCUACUUCUUCUUCACUAUUUCUGCGUUUUCCUUUGUUCGUCUUCAAAUCUCAAAAUUUAGAUGGCUCAGCAGGUACAAGAACUUACAGUGAUAGCCCCUGAUCAAAAUAUGGUACAUUAUCGGGUUACUCGUGAUACCACAGUUGCUAUUGUAAGAUCCGUAAUAGCUUGUUUAAGGGGUUUUGGAGAGGCAGAAGUGGAAGCAAUGCUGAGCGUGGGCCCAGAUUAUAUACCUGUUCCGGUCCAUCUGCAUCUGUGGGAGCCGGCAACAUGUCAAUGUACUCUGGUUUUCCAGCAGCCGGGACGCAUCCCCCCGAUUCGUGGACAAUGGUGAUGAUGCCGAUGGUGACCAGAAGAGGGCAAAGGUUGUUUUUGUCCAUGGAGGCGAGGCGUUCAAGUCGGUGCUGUUAAGAUAGAUGAAGCAGCUGGAAGCAUGGAACAGUUGACAAUAUAAUACAUUGCAAGUUCUAGGAUCUGUCAGAUAGGUUUCUGAAUCUGCAUUCUGUAAUCAAUUUCCUGUCAAAUAUACAUUUUUAUCUUUCAGAAUUCCUGUUUUCGCUGAUGUUUAGAGUUUAGCUAAACAUGAUAUGCAUAGAUUUUACAACUGAAUUUGUGUUUUAUAGUA